rnacentral:rRNA from 1 species
UACGUAGGGUGCGAGCGUUGUCCGGAAUUAUUGGGCGUAAAGAGCUUGUAGGCGGUUUGUCGCGUCUGCUGUGAAAAUCCGGGGCUCAACCCCGGACUUGCAGUGGGUACGGGCAGACUAGAGUGUGGUAGGGGAGACUGGAAUUCCUGGUGUAGCGGUGAAAUGCGCAGAUAUCAGGAGGAACACCGAUGGCGAAGGCAGGUCUCUGGGCCACUACUGACGCUGAGAAGCGAAAGCAUGGGGAGUGAACAGG